rnacentral:rRNA from 1 species
CUGGCGGCAGGCUUACACAUGCAAGUCGAACGGUUGUAGCAAUACAGCAGUGGCGCACGGGUGAGUAACGCGUGGGAAUAUGCCCUUUAGUUCGGGAUAACGUCGGGAAACUGACGCUAAUACCGGAUACGCCCUUCGGGGGAAAGAUUUAUCGCUAAAGGAUUAGCCCGCGUGAGAUUAGGUAGUUGGUGGGGUAAUGGCCUACCAAGCCUACGAUCUCUAGCUGGUCUGAGAGGACGACCAGCCACACUGGAACUGAGACACGGGUCCAGACUCCUACGGGAGGCAGCAGUGGGGAAUAUUGGACAAUGGGGGAAACCCUGAUCCAGCCAUGCCGCGUGAAUGAUGAAGGCCUUAGGGUUGUAAGGUUCUUUUGUCAGGGAAGAUGAUGACGGUACCUGAAGAAUAAGCACCGGCUAACUUCGUGCCAGCAGCCGCGGUAAUACGAAGGGUGCUAGCGUUGUUCGGAAUCACUGGGCGUAAAGCGCGCGUAGGCGGCUUUUCAAGUCAGGGGUGAAAUCCUGAGGCUUAACCUCAGAAUUGCCUUUGAAACUGUAAAGCUGGAGUGUCGGAGGGGAUAGCGGAAUUCCUAAUGUAGCAGUGAAAUGCGUAGAUAUUAGGAGGAACACCGGUGGCGAAGGCGGCUAUCUGGACGACAACUGACGCUGAGGCGCGAAAGCGUGGGGAUCAAACAGGAUUAGAUACCCUGGUAGUCCACGCUGUAAACGAUGGAUGCUAGCCGUUGGGGGGUUCCCCCUCAGUGGCGUAGCUAACGCGUUAAGCAUCCCGCCUGGGGAGUACGGUCGCAAGA